CCAACUCGAGCUCUUUUUACCUGAGCUGUUUGUGUACAUGUGUCCAAACUCUCCCAUGGGUUAUGAUUAUGAUGCUGCGCUUGGACACAUUCAAGGCAACCGUCAUUUAAGACGGUAUUAUGAAAAGCGAGGGAAGCAGUCAGCCAUGCUUAUUUUCCUCACAGGCGCUGACGCUCAGGUUCAGGAUAUUAGCGCUCUUCAUUACAUGCUGAAGGUCAAGGCCGGCCGCUCUGAGAGAGACGAUUAACUGCCAACAACAACCUCAGCGAUGUUUCUCACCUUCAUCUCAAAAACACAGAGCUGCUCGAGGAGAACAGAGCGAGAGUUUCCAUCUGAGCUGCUGUUGUGGAAACAUGUUCUGUUCUGACUGUGACGCAAGAGUGUGUGAUGACUGUAACUUCCAGAGAACUGCUGAUAGCAUCGACACCAGAGCUGCCCUGAUCCAGUGCAAACUCAACGUUUCGCUCUUCCUUAUUAUUAUUAUCCCUUGUUUUUCAGACCUGAAUGAGAUGUUUAGCAGAAUGUCCAAGCUGCUCUUUUCCAUUAAACAAGAGUGAACAAAGAUAAAAGCAACACACUAAAGAAACGUUUUGUUUGCAUGUUUACUCACCUCAUGAAAGUGUUUAUUUAUUAAGAGUUUUGGUUUUAUGGACUCGUGUUUGAGUUAAAAAGGUCUUAAUGCUGGAUGUGUUUCAUCUUUUGUCUUCUCCAGAUGUUAACUGAUGGACUGGAGUGCUGUGGAUUACUUGUGGAUUAUUGUGAUGUUUUUAUCAGCUGUUUGGACUCUCAUUCUGACGGCACCCAUUCACUGCAGAGCAUCCAUUGCUCAGACACUGAUGCAGUGCGACAUUUCUACAAACCUGAUGAAGAAACAAACUCAUCCUGAUCUCGGAUGAUCUGAGGCGCUCUGAUGUCUCGCCUGGGCGGCACGCGCCUGACAGAAUACUAAUGACGUCCUCAGAGAGCCUCCUGAACUGAUCCCAGAUCAGCCUCAAACACUGAUCGCAGAUCUGCUCCAGCUGCACCCGCGAGGACGCUUCUGGGUUAACUUCGGAGGAACUCUGGGAUUGGUUGAUAAUUUUUCUUUGAGAAAAAAUAUUAUUCUUAUAUGAGCUGAUGAGAUUUGAUAACGUUUUAGUGUCUUCUGCUCACCAAGGAUGCAUUUAUUUGACCAAAAAUACAGUAAAAAUUGUGACAAAUUAUUCUUAUUUAAAACAGCUGUUCUCUAUGUGAAUAUCUGUUAAAGUGUAAUUUAUUUCUGUGAUGUGCAGCUGUAUUUUCAACAUCAUUACUCCAGUCUUCAGUGUCACGUGAUCUUCAGAAAUCAUUCUAAUAUGCUG
ensembl:lncRNA